CAGCGCUCCACCUCCUCCCUCCCCCGCCGGCGCUCAGCCUCCUUCCUCCCCUACCCGCACGCCGCCCGCUUGCCCUCCCAUCCCACGCGUCGCCGCCGCCGGCCGGCCACCCCACCCUACCCACGCGCUGUCGCCGCCGACCGGCCGCCCCUUCCUACCCGCGCGCUACCGCCGCCUGCCGCCCGCCCCUCCCUAUCCACGCGCUGCCGCUGCCAGCCGCCCACCCCACCCUUCCCCACGCGCUGUCGCCGACCGCCCUCCCUACCACACGUUGCCGUGACACAACCGCGUCCGUCACCGUCCUUCGCCGCCCAGCCAACCUCCUUCUUCCGCGCCGUCGGCGACCUCCCUCCAUGCAUCGUGCCCCCCCUCCAUCAACGUGUGGGUCAUGGGGUCGUCACCCUCGGCCGCUACCCCGUGCACCACGCACCUCCGGCGUCGUCGCGACCCAUUGAACAACAAGCAUCCCUUCCUGGAUCCGGUCGCCUCCCUCCCCACUCUGUGACUUCAGGUAUACCUGCUGGGAGAGUUCAAUAAUCUGAAUAAUUGCCAACACCUGAAGGUUGUGUUUUGUCAUCUCAUCCCCACAUCUCCAGUAUGUCCAAUUGCAUCUGGCUUGACAGUUCAUAGACGAAAAAUUGAGCGGUGGUCUCUAAAUAUUCUGCUGAUAUAUGCCUAAAUAGGACCAAAUUUUGCAUGUUUUCUGCUUGUAUGUAUGUGGUUGAAUUAUUUAGCUUUUGAUCGAAGUUCAAACUUUAUAUGUGUGAAGGUUCAAUCAAACUCAGUUUCAUAGCUAUGAGGUAGAGCCAAUUUUCUCGGCUACUGAAACUGAUCAUUUGAUAGGGAAUUAAAAAGAAACAACAUAUAUGACCAUACGCGAAGUUCAAAGUUCUGGUCCAUGAUAGUAGACAUCCUGCAGUUUUUGGGAAUGAGUAGUUCACCUUUGCUAAGUGUAGCAAGUUCUCUGGUUACAAAAAUGAAUUCACUUUGCAAGAACUCCGGAGGUCAACAAUUUCUUUUUUUUUGUAGAUGGAGAUGUGUGUGUGUGCAUACAUGUGUUCUAGAGACAGGAGAACUUAUCUGGUGGUGUCUGUGUGUGCUGCUGCAUCCUCUUCCGGCCGCUCUAAUUCACACCCUCAGUACAACUUCUGUAUGACCUCGUGUAAAGCAAGCAUGGCCAACACAUAGUUUAGGUGUCGCGGUAGUACUCAUUGUUUAUGGUGGCCUUCUUUUGUACCGCUACCACUUUGUUACCUAGAGUAGUACUGCCACUACUUAUCAUGUUGAUAAAUCCUCGCGAACAGUAUAUGCAUUUGAUUAAUGAUUCUGUAGGGAGAAAAAGUUCACCAAUAUACAAUCUCUAAGUUCGAUGUACCAAUCUUUUUGUUUAGUAGUUGGUACUGCUCAAGUUUAUUUCUUGAUGUACACAUGAUGUCAAAUUUCUUCUUUGAGUUCGGUUCAAUUUAUAAAUUUUGUUCAGUUCAGCGAGGUGGAUAUUGGGGCAUGGUGGGGUGUGGCCAUGUGGGUGGAGAUGGCCCGCCACAACGUUGCCAGCCGAAUCCCGCUGCCAUGUGCUCGAUCCAGCAGGUCUCCUCCCUCCCGGUGCUAGCCUCCUCGAGCUCCGUCGCCGACCAACUCCACCCCGGGUCCUGACGUAGCCCCUCAGUUCGACAUGCAUCUGCUGCGUGCUUGCUGUGGCCUGCGUGUGCUGGUGUGUUCGUGCAUGCACGAUAUAACUGAACUGAGCAUUUCUACCAUAUCUGAACCGCAGGUGGGAUGCAUCCUCUACAAAAAAGAUUCUCCGAUGCUCCUCGUCAGCUAGUGGGCCAACACGGGGGUCCUCACUGUGGCCUCCCCCACGAUGAUCUGAGUUGCACUCAUGGAAUUCUCUACUUCCCCACCUAGCAGAUCACGACGGCUCUCCCCCUCCUACUGCUCAGCAUCAUUGAUCUCAACGACGAAUAGGGACAAAAAUAAACGUGAAUCUUGUCGUCCUCUUGAUGCAACCAAAUCCCAGCGCACCUGGUAGUUCAAACUUACAUUGGAUGGCCGGCGAUCAACUGCCCCGCCUCUACAAGCUCCUCAGGGAUGACUUGGUAAUAGUUGGGAUCCCCUACAGCGGCCAAAUCCCGGCGCACCCAGCCGCCUCUCGUGGUCCCCGCUCCUUCAGCUCCACUUCACCGGCGCUGUCAGUCCACAGGAGUAGGGGAGGCGUGCCCAUCAACAAACAAGAACAUAAGGUAUGUGCUUGGAAACUUAAAAUUCCGUACACAUUUGGGAAACAGAAGUUGUAGCUUGUUUCAAAGUUCAAAACGAAAAAGAUAUUCAGUUCAACUUGUUCUAGCAAACCAUGUGUGAGACACCAUAGAGUGAAAAUGUUGCUGUGUUGCCAUGUCUCUUAUUGGUUCAACUACAAAUAAUUACAUCCCUUCGACUACAUAUAUUACACUAGUUCAACUGUGUGCGUCACACCAAUGGACCUAAGUUUUACAUAUGUUAUCAGUUUGAAAAAACUUUGGAUUUUGAUGAUGCAAGCUGUAUCUACAUAGUUCUUUUUUCUAUUUCCUAUAAGUUCAAGUGAGCAAUUUCUAUAAGUUGGCGGGUUGUUUACUCAGGCAGUUAAAAAAAGUGGUCAUUGUUGUCUCUUUUAAAAGAUGUUCGAGUGAUUCUUGUCAAAAUGCUGCCAAUGUUAAGAGAAGAACUCCUUCCUCCAUUGGCUGUCUCAGUUCAUCUGGUUAAACAUCUCAGUGCAACUAUAUUGACUAUGCCUGGAACAGUAACAUGGUGACGGUUGUGUUUCAUACAUCCAAGCAAUAUGAUGCUUGCAACGGAGUAUUGUACCAAGCUACAAUUUGCAUUGAAAUGCCGCUACCACUAUGUAUUUGUACUUAAACGAACUUGUAGAAACAACUCUUUCUAUCUCACUCGUACUUCUAUUUUUUGUAUGGGGCAUCUUCUAGCAUAUGAUUGUAACUCAUUUUCCUUUAGAUAACUACUCCCUCCGUUCCGAAUUACUUGUCGCAGGUAUGGAUGUAUCUAGAUGUAUUUUAGUUCUAGAUACAUCCAUUUCUGCGACGAGUAAUUUGGUACGGAGGGAGUACUUAUUAAAAAGAUAUAUCAGUCGGCAUGCUAAAUUUCAAUUUCCCAUUUUAAAGUUCAGAUUUUGCUGCAUCUAAAGUGCACCUAUGCUAAUUCUUUUCAUCGAAGGGAGAAGCAGCAGGGACAGUACGCGUCGGUGUCUAUAUUCAGCUUUAUUUUUGUUUUGAAGUUGAUGUGAAAGAGCUUUUGAAAGCAAACAUCAGUCCAGUUUCGUUUUGUAUCAGCUGCUCCAAGGAAUGAAGUACAUGCAGGUAAUUACUGAUUAGGCUCCAUCGGGAUCUGAUGUUGCUGUACGGAUUGUUUGCUUAGAUGAUGGUUUUGCAGCAAAUGUUUUCCAUCGGGAUCUGAAGCCCAAGAAUAUUCUAGCGAAUGUUGACUGCAAGAUGAAAUUUGUGAUUUUGGACUUGCCCGUGUACCAUUUAAUGACGGGGCUCCAUCAGCCAUAUUCAGAAGUUUGAUUUUGUGAAGAAGUAUGCAAAAUUUCAAUGCAGGUGUGGAGAACCAAAAAGUUCUAACGACGGUGAAUCACAAGUUCAAGGACAGCAAUCCGGGGGCAUGGGGGCAUCUGCUGAUGCAAAUCUUGGUACUGAUGUGUUUAAGUCAAAGGACUUCGGUGUGUUUGUUGUAACCCAUAAAAUGGAAAAUGUUCUCUGGUGCCUAAUCUUGUUUCCACUUAUGUUUAUAUGUGGUUGUGUUUGUUGUAACCCAUAAAAUGGAAUAAUGCCUCCAAUGCGCAUGUAGCGACCCGACCUUGAACGGUUAAGUCUUUGUGCUUUAGUGUUAUCCCUGGAUCGGUAAUACUGACACACACAGUACUCAAA